AUUGAACGCUGGCGGCAGGCCUAACACAUGCAAGUCGAACGAGUGGCGGACGGGUGAGUAAUGUCUGGGAAACUGCCCGAUGGAGGGGGAUAACUACUGGAAACGGUAGCUAAUACCGCAUACCAUCGGAUGUGCCCCGAUGGGAUUAGCUAGUAGGUGGGGUAACGGCUCACCUAGGCGACGAUCCCUAGCUGGUCUUAGAGGAUGACCAGCCACAAUGGAACUGUGACACGGUCCAGACUCCGACGGGAGGCAGCAGUGGGGAAGAUUGCACAAUGGGCGAAAGCCGGAUGCAGCAAUGCCGCGUGGAUGAAGAAGGCCUUCGGGUUGUAAAGUACUUUCAGCGAGGAGGCGUUACUCGCAGAAGAAGCACCGGCUAACUCCGUGCCAGCAGCCGCGGUAAUAC
rnacentral:rRNA from 1 species